rnacentral:rRNA from 1 species
CAGCAGCCGCGGUAAUACGUAGGUGGCAAGCGUUAUCCGGAAUUAUUGGGCGUAAAGCGCGCGUAGGCGGUUUUUUAAGUCUGAUGUGAAAGCUCACGGCUCAACCGUGGAGGGUCAUUGGAAACUGGAAAACUUGAGUGCAGAAGAGGAAAGUGGAAUUCCAUGUGUAGCGGUGAAAUGCGCAGAGAUAUGGAGGAACACCAGUGGCGAAGGCGACUUUCUGGUCUGUAACUGACGCUGAUGUGCGAAAGCGUGGGGAUCAAACAGGAUUAGAUACCCUGGUAGUCCACGCCGUAAACGAUGAGUGCUAAGUGUUAGGGGGUUUCCGCCCCUUAGUGCUGCAGCUAACGCAUUAAGCACUCCGCCUGGGGAUUACGACCGCAAGGUUGAAACUCAAAUGAAUUGACGG